rnacentral:tRNA from 1 species
GCCCGAUUGGUCUAAUGGCAAUCCAAACCCGCGAAGCGGGUGCGACAAGGACUUCGGAGAAGUCCCGAUAGUGAUUCCUGAUUCUCAGUCAGGAGACGAGAGUUCGAAUCUCUCAUCGGGUA